UUGUUUUUUGUUAGCGACGAUGGUGCAAGACUGGAAAAUUCUACUAACAAUUUUCUUUGGUAAGAAAGUAAAAGUUGUUCUUCCUGUAUUGCGUCUACAACUUGUCUUUCAUAUAUUAGUAAUAUAUACAAACACGAUCUCACCCAUUCUCUCUUUCUCUUUCUUUUUUCCUUUUUCUCUCAUUGGCACAUUCGCUUACCUAGUCAUUCACUUAUGUACACAUAGUCUUUAUGUAUGGUAAUAGUGUCGUAUAUAUUUAAAACCCAGUCGUACUUCCGAGUUCAGAUAAAUCAGAGUUUAAGCAUUGCCGAAGAUUUCUCUUCCUAUAACUCGAUUUUAUCAAAUUAUUAUUUAUCAUCUUUUUUUCUCACUUUUUUUACGGAAAUUCUCAGCGAGAUUUCUUAUGCCUGUUUUUUUCUUUUAAUUAAAAAAGAAUCAUUAUAGCAGGAGUCAGCCAUUGAUAAGCAAGAACAAGAAUCUUCACAAAUAAGGCAGGAUCACCUUGAACUCAUCGUAUUCAUUAUAUUCUCCUUUAAAUUUUUCUUUUUUUGACCAUCAUAAAAUGAAAAAAUGGCUUAACGCUAAGCCUUGGUUUUAUGCACCGUGAAUAGACAUUUACUCAGUUGACAUUUUGACACCGUGGAUAGACAUUUACCCAGUUUGAUCGAUUAACUUUUUUUUAUUUUCAGCCGAAGAAAAGUCUCCAUUUUUCUCUCUCUCUUUCCUUUCUCUUUCUUUUCGUCUCUUUUAAAUCGUAGAUCUAAUAGAUUUGUAAUGUAAUUAAGGAGUUCAAUCGUAUAAGUUACAUCAUCGAGUAUACUAGGUCAAAAUCGAUUUGACUUUCCAAUUACUCAGCAUACUUGAAGUUUCAUGAGAAGGCAGGGACAAUCAUAGCAUGCGACGUGUUUAGAAAGUAAUCUACUUGGAGAAGAACGCUCGCGUAUUACUGGCAACACAGCAACACCGUGGCCUGGUGAACUCGACGAUAACGAACGUGAAUUUAGUCGUGGUCUGGUUAACCGUUACUAAUUAUUUAUUUUCUCUCGUAUUUCUUUCUCUUUUUUUCCCUUCUCUUAAUGAAUUCUUUUGUCUAAACAAAUUCUGUUGAAACAAAAAUAAAACGACCGUCUGUAUUCCCCUGAGAAAAAUGUCAAGUCUUCCAUAAUGGUGAACUCUCGAACCGUUGAGAGAGGCGAUUGUCCUAGACGCCGCAUGCGGUCGUACAACUUUCUCGCGUGCGGAAUUACAGACGCGGAAGAAGGUUGAAAGUACUUGUAGCUUCGAGUGCUGCGAUAUCAGCGAUGCAUCGACAGUACACCUAGGAUCGUUGCCUCGUGAGGUUCAUAUUUGUUUUUAUCGAGGGAACUUUUCUCACAACACCUUUACGAUAGUUCUUCACACUUGAGUUCUUCAACUUUAACAUAAAGCCUCAAGGUUAGGAAAAUCCGGAACAUUUCGCUAUAAAUCAUAGUGAAUAAUGCAUUUUCAUUAUAUACAGCUCGUAAUCAUGAUUGCCACGUCUCCGUUUUCAGUCCGGAGAUUUACAAUUUUUUAAUUAAUAAAUUUUUGGCGUCCACCGGUUUUAUAAGAAAAAUUUUUCAGAUUGUAAUAAUCUUACUUUCGUUAUUCUCAAAACUCUAAGAUACAAUAAAAGUUUAAAAUUAUUAUUUUUUCUUUUUUUUUAAAUAAUUCUUAAUACGAAAUGUGAUUUAAUAAUUACGUCAUUAUCUUUCUGCAAUGAGGAUAUUUUUUUCAUACAUUUUUGCUGACAAAUAUUAAAAUUUUGUUUCUGUAAUAAAUGAUUUACCAAUA